rnacentral:rRNA from 1 species
GAUGAACGCUGGCGGCGUGCCUAAUACAUGCAAGUCGAGCGAACAGAUGAGGAGCUUGCUCCUCUGACGUUAGCGGCGGACGGGUGAGUAACACGUGGAUAACCUACCUAUAAGACUGGGAUAACUUCGGGAAACCGGAGCUAAUACCGGAUAAUAUAUUGAACCGCAUGGUUCAAUAGUGAAAGACGGUUUUGCUGUCACUUAUAGAUGGAUCCGCGCCGCAUUAGCUAGUUGGUAAGGUAACGGCUUACCAAGGCAACGAUGCGUAGCCGGCCUGAGAGGGUGAUCAGCCACACUGGAACUGAGACACGGUCCAGACUCCUACGGGAGGCAGCAGUAGGGAAUCUUCCGCAAUGGGCGAAAGCCUGACGGAGCAACGCCGCGUGAGUGAUGAAGGUCUUCGGAUCGUAAAACUCUGUUAUUAGGGAAGAACAAAUGUGUAAGUAACUAUGCACGUCUUGACGGUACCUAAUCAGAAAGCCACGGCUAACUACGUG